rnacentral:rRNA from 1 species
GAUGAACGCUGGCGGCGUGCCUAAUACAUGCAAGUCGAGCGAACAGACGAGGAGAUUUCUCCUCUGACGUUAGCGGCGGACGGAUGAGUAACUAGUGGAUAACCUACCUAUAAGACUGGGAUAAAUUCGGGAAACCAGAGCUAAUACCGGAUAAUAUCUUGAACCACAUGGUUCAAUAGUGAAAGACGGUUUUGCUGUCACUUAUAGAUGGAUCCGCGCCGCAUUAGUUAGUUGGUAAGGUAGCGGCUUAACAAGGCAACGAUGCGUAGCCGCCCUGAAAGAGAGAACGGCCACACGGGAACUGAGACAGGGUCCAAACACCUACGGGGGGCAGCGGUGGGGAAUCUUCCGCAAUGGGCGAAGGCGGAACGGAGAAAGGCCGCGUAAUGGAUGAAGGUCUACGGAUCGUAAAGCUCGGUUUUUGGGGAGGAACAAAUGUGUGAGUAACUAUGCACGUCUUGACGGUACCGAAUCAGAAAGCCACGGCUAACUACGUG